rnacentral:rRNA from 1 species
UACGGAGGGGGCUAGCGUUGUUCGGAAUUACUGGGCGUAAAGCGCACGUAGGUGGCUUUGUAAGUUAGAGGUGAAAGCCCGGGGCUCAACUCCGGAAUUGCCUUUAAGACUGCAUCGCUAGAACGUCGGAGAGGUAAGUGGAAUUCCGAGUGUAGAGGUGAAAUUCGUAGAUAUUCGCAAGAACACCAGUGGCGAAGGCGGCUCACUGGCCCGGUACUGACGCUGAGGUGCGAAAGCGUGGGGAGCAAACAGG